GUUUAACUUAAAGUAUAGCCUGCCUAACCUGGUUGCCUUAAAAUUUGAGUCCAUUUAAACUAAAAAAUUGAGUUGAUACAAAGAAAGAGAUUAGUUUAUUCAACAGAAAAUAGGGAAUGGUUUAAUAUAGGGCAGAUUAAACAUAUUGCCAGUCUAGGCACUAUUGCCAGUCCCAAACCCACACACACACAAACAUCUACACCCCACCCACCACCACCACCACCACCCCCCAAGAGGGAGUAUUGGCACUUUAUUUUCUCUACUUCAAGCACUGGACGUGCUGUCAGACACAGCUAAUAAUGGAUUUGGAACACAUUUAUCAAAAUGUUGAACUCAGAGAUAUUAAGGACAAAUUUGGACCUCGAACACAGAAUAAAAGUCAGGAUGAAGGAAAAGAUGAAAAGCGCAGUAAGCAGAAAAUUACUUUAAACAAAAAAUGGUGUCAUUAUGUUUGAGGAAAUUGUUUGAGGAAUUGUUACAUACAUGUUUCAUUCUUUCUUUAUACUGUAAAACGAUCUACAGCAUUAUCUAAAACAAAGGUAGAUUACCUAGAAAGGUUGAUUUGAAACUUCAUUUCUAAUAAUAUUAAGAGUAUUCACUGAUAUUUGUGUUUUUGUCCUGUUUUUUUCAGAAGGAAGAUGUUUAAUGUUGAUUACAGCGUGUCUCGGGGUCAUUUGUGUUCUUCUGCUGGUCUUCAUCAUACUGCAGCACAUCAACCUCACAACUGAGAGAGACCUGUUAAAGAGUUACAAGAACACAGCUGAAGAGUUCAAUCAGACUAUCAACAGCUUACAGGACAAUUACACUGAUCUAAAGAUUGAAAAAAACCAACUGCAGAACAACUUCACCUCUUUGAGUCAAAAGAAAUUACAGCUGGAGCUUGAACUAAGGAAGUUAUAUGAACAAGGAUCUUCAGGUCUGGAGUCCAGAAUAAGGAUUGGAGACAAAGUCCGCGUGAAGACGUCUGUUGUUACUCCAACACACAAAUGGGGAGCAGUCACUCACAAAAGCAUUGGUGUUGUUAAAAAAGUUCAGGGUGAGUCUUUGACUAUUGAUUUCCCUGAGCAUAAAAACUGGAAUGGUAUAAUUUCAGAAAUGGAGCUUGUGACCGGCACUUGUACAGUUGACAUCAAGGUUGGAGACAGUGUCAGAGUGAAACCUUCCAUAACUACACCAAAAUAUGAAUGGGGCAGAGCCACACACAAGAGUGUGGGUGUGGUAAAAGGCAAGAUCUGUGUAUUAUUCUCAUAGACAGAACAAACUUAAGGAGAUAUAAACUGCUUUCAUAUUUUAACAUUCACAGUACAUUCACAUUUAGUAUACAAGGAGUUGCUCUUGGAAAAAAUGUAUUGUAAGUAGGUUUGUCCUCUGAUCUGGCUAGAAAUCAGUGUGAUUGUGGAUUUCCCAGAACACAAAGGCUGGAAAGGGAUUCUUUCUGAAAUGGAAUUGACAGAUGAUUCAGGCUGACGUUUCAGGAUCUUCAUGAUGAUGUGACUGAAGUUCCCUGGUCACAGAAACUUGCCUGUCUUUUUUCUUUUUCUUUUUUUUUUUUUUUGUGUGUGUAAGUUUGUAGUCAUGUGUCUCUUUUAGAUAAUUCAUUUUUGUUCAGAUCUGCCCCCCCCCCCCCCUUUUUUUUUUUUUUUAACUGUUCUUCAC